CACUGAAUGAUUCUUUUCUUUCCUUUCAAACAUUACCUAUAAACGCCAUGUAUCUUUCCCUGCGUGCCACCGCGUAGCUUUCCAUAAACUCUUAUAGCGCAGCCGAUUCGGCGAUUUGCUUCUUACAACUCUCAGAUUGUUUUCUUAGUUUCCCUUUUCUAGAUUCGACGAGAUCGGGAAACCCUAAUCCAAUUAUGCUCCCGACGCAUCGGAUCUACAUCCGCUGCCCUAUCGGAGGUGCGUAGAUCUCGCUGGCGGCGGCGGCGAUGGGUAAGAAGAAGAAACGGUCCGAGAAGGUCUGGUGCUAUUACUGCGACAGGGAGUUCGACGACGAGAAGAUCCUCGUCCAGCACCAAAAAGCCAAGCACUUCAAGUGCCAUGUCUGCCACAAGAAGCUCUCCACCGCCGGGGGAAUGACCAUCCACGUACUUCAGGUCCACAAAGAGACCGUCUCCAAGGUCCCUAAUGCUAAACCUGAAAGAGAUUCAACAGAAAUUGAGAUUUAUGGCAUGCAAGGAAUUCCUCAUGACAUCUUAGCAGCUCAUUAUGGAGAAGAUGAAGAGGCAGCAGCAAAAACGGCCAAAGUGGAAGUUCCAUCAAGUGGGUUUGUUGGUGGAAUAGUUCCUGGUUCAUUGGGCAUUAGAUUUCCUCCCCCACCUGCAUAUGGUGCAGUUCGUCCAAUAUACAAUCCUGCUUUUCGUCUACCACGUCCAACUUGGCCUAUUCUAGAUGUCCAACCACAACCUUGGUUUCCUCAAGUGUCUGUUCCAGUUACUCCAGCUGUUGUAGUUCCACAGCAACCCUUAUUUCCUAUUCCAAAUCCUACGACUCCUUUGAUCUCCACUUCUGCUCCUCUAAUCGAGUCACCAUUACAAGCUGGUCCCCCUGGCCUACCCACAUCUAUACCUGCGAUGGUGUCUCAACCUCUGUUUCCGAUUAAUAAUCCAGCUGGCGUUCCUUCUCAGAGUUCCCCAUUUUUAGCAACAUCGACAACAAUAAUUUCUUCAAGCUCUCUAACAAUGUUAAGUGGUGCCGUUGAUGCAAAUUCAACAUCAAAUACUUCUACAGGAGGUGGUUACGUUACACCAAAUGAUCCAGAUGGUAACUUGUAUGCAAACUCCCAUAUGUAUGCUUCCGGUCCAAACACUGAGAACCCUUCAAUUGGACCUCCACCUGUGAUAUCCAACAAGCCCCCUGCCUCCCAUGCCACCGCAAAUGAGGUCUACUUGGUUUGGGAUGAUGAGGCAAUGUCAAUGGAUGAGAGAAGAAUGUCUCUGACAAAGUAUCAGGUGCAUGAUGAAACUAGCCAGGUAAGUUUUUAUUGCCUCCUGUUUUUCAUUUUGACGGAUGUGCAGAUCCAGAAGGUAGGAAACUAAACCAGAAAAAAUAAUCAUUAAAGUUAAUUGCCCUAUAUCUCAAUAUACUCAUCCCAUCUUAAUUCCACUUCUACUUUAAUAUGCAGUAAGAAUGCUUUUAUGAAAAAUUUGUAAAUUUUUAGGAGGAAUUUAUCGCCCUUGUGAGUUUUCUAUGAAGCUUUAGUUUCAAGUGAACUUGAUUACUAAGAAUGAUAUUCUUCUAUUUUCCAAUCCUCGACAUUCUAGUUCUCCUGGUGUUUUAAAAGUUUUUUCAAUUGGCUUUUACAUAAUUUCUACUUUUAGUAAGUUUUAUAAAACUGACAAGCUUUUGCUGCAAAUGAGCGAGGGUUGCCUACCUAGCACCAGGCCUAUCCGAAAAUGUGUAUGUACCGUGUUCUGAUCUAGUUUUUUGGUUUUAUUUAUUAUCCCUCUUGCUUAAUGAGUGGGGGACUUAAGUUGAGCAAAUCAAGAAUAUAUGCCAGCAGGAUUUUCUCAAUUUGUAGCAUUUCUUGUUAUCUGUUUUUGAUCACAUUGGCGACCAGAAUGGUACAGGUCAGCUUUCAUUCAGAUGCAAGUUCACUACCUCAGAUCAAUGAACUCCAUUGAUGCAGCCAUAGACAGAAGGAUAUCUGAAAGUCAGCUCGCCAGCCGCAUGACAUUCUAAACCCCAUUACAUCGGUUGAGGUUUUGACCCAGUUGCUAUUUGUCCUCUGAACAACUCGAACAAUGAAGCACCAAGGUCUGCUCCUUUUGUAUUAGACCGGCAUAUUAGCAUUGUAACAUAUGUGGAGGUUGGUUGAUUGUGCCUUUAGACAUGAUGCAGAAUUUAUUAAGUUUGUUGUUCAACUUUAACAAGAGGCUGUUCUCAAAGUUACUUGAUAGCUCUUAGUUAACAUUAUCAGCUGCUUGUCAAAUUAAUAUCAUUGUUUCGAGUUGGUGU